AUUGAACGCUGGCGGAAUGCUUUACACAUGCAAGUCGAACGGCAGCACGGACUUCGGUCUGGUGGCGAGUGGCGAACGGGUGAGUAAUAUAUCGGAACGUGCCCAGUCGUGGGGGAUAACGUAGUGAAAAUUACGCUAAUACCGCAUACGAUCUAUGGAUGAAAGCGGGGGAUCGCAAGACCUCGCGCGAUUGGAGCGGCCGAUAUCAGAUUAGGUAGUUGGUGAGGUAAAGGCUCACCAAGCCAACGAUCUAUAGCUGGUCUGAGAGGAUGAUCAGCCACACUGGGACUGAGACACGGCCCAGACUCCUACGGGAGGCAGCAGUGGGGAAUUUUGGACAAUGGGCGCAAGCCUGAUCCAGCCAUUCCGCGUGCAGGACGAAGGCCUUCGGGUUGUAAACUGCUUUUGUACAGAACGAAAAGCUCUGGGUUAAUACCCUGGGGUCAUGACGGUACUGUAAGAAUAAGCACCGGCUAACUACGAG
rnacentral:rRNA from 1 species